rnacentral:rRNA from 1 species
UACGUAGGGUCCGAGCGUUGUCCGGAUUUAUUGGGCGUAAAGAGCUCGUAGGCGGUUCCGUAAGUCAGAUGUGAAAACUCAGGGCUCAACCCGGAGACGCCAUCUGAUACUGCGGUGACUGGAGUCUGGUAGGGGAACACGGAAUUCCUGGUGUAGCGGUGAAAUGCGCAGAUAUCAGGAGGAACACCGGUGGCGAAGGCGGCAUCCUGGACCGGCAUUGACGCUGAGGCGCGAAAGCCAGGGGAGCAAACGGG